CCGAUUUUUUUUUUCCUUUCCUCUUCACAACUCGGCAACUGCUGAGCUGCCUCCAACUCAUUUGCUUACCAUCCCUACCGCCUGCCUCAGAUCUCGAUGCGGCGCAAGCUCCCCGGCGACGCGCCGCUGUCGGCGGCGGGGGCCGGUCAUGCGUCGUCCGCAUCCGCGCCGUCCGAGGCGGACCUCGCGCAGCUCUCCGCCGCCAUCGCGGCCGGGGAGGACCUGGGCCCCUUCGUGCGCCGGGCCUUCGCGUGCGGCCGCCCCGAGCCGCUGCUCGCCUCGCUCCGCGGCGCGGCGCGGGACCGCGAGGCCGAGAUCGAGGAGCUCUGCCGCGCGCACUUCCACGAUUUCAUCCGCGCUGUCGACGACCUCCGUUCCCUCCUGGCCGACGCCGACGCGCUCAAGGGCUCCCUCUCCGCGUCCCACUCCGCGCUUCUCUCAUCGGCGGCCCCGCUGCUCGCCUCGCUUGAGUCCUUCCUCGUCGCGCGCUCGCUCGCGGGGAACCUCUCCUCCGCGCUAGCCUCCUCCCGCCGGUGCGUACGGCUGCUCGCGCUCGCGGCGCGGGCGAACGCGCACCUCCAGGCCGGCAACCAUGGGCUCUAUCUCGCCCUGCGCGCCGUCGACGCCAUCGACCGUGAUCUCGCCUCGGGACCCGAGCCGCUGCCGCUACCCACGCUCCGCCGCAUGCUGCUCAGCGUCGUCCCUGCGGUGCGCGCGCAUGCCGAGCGCGAGAUCUCCAGGGAGUUCUCCGACUGGAUGGUUAGCAUCCGCGCUGCUUCCAGGCACCUCGGCCAGGUGGCCAUCGGCCGCUCGGCUGCCGCCAGGCAGCGCCAGGAAGAGCUCCGCUCCAAGCACCGCCCGCUGGAGGAGUGCAUCACCCUGGAUGACGAUGGAGUUGGUGACCUUGAUGAUUUUGCGGCAGCCGCCGCAACAGCUGACGCAGCAGAUGGUGCCGCUGCAGCCUCUUUUGACCUUACACCGCUCUAUCGAGCGAUGCAUAUACACCAGACGCUGGAGCUGGGUGAGCGGUUCAAGAAGUACUACCUGGAAAACAGGAAGCUGCAGCUGACAUCAGACUUUGAUGUCAUUGCGGCGACGCCAUUCCUCGAGUCCCACCAGGUGUUUUUCUCGCAGAUUGCUGGGUUCUUUAUUGUUGAGGACCGGGUAUUUAGAACAGGUGGUGGGCUCACAUCUCGGCCAGAUGUAGAUGCACUUUGGGAUGCCGCUGUGGGGAAGAUGGUCUCUGUGAUGGAAGACAACUUCUCCAGGAUGCAGACAGCAAACCACUUGCUUCUCAUCACUGAUUAUGCUGCUUUGCUUUCUGCCACAAUGCGGCGGUAUGGUUAUCCAGUAGGGAUGUUGCUGGAUGUGCUGGCUAAGCACAGAGACAAGUACCAUGAUUUGCUGCUUGCGGAUUGCCGUAGGCAGGUGGCAGAGGCACUGGCUGCAGAUAAGUUUGAUCAGAUGCUCAUGAGAAAGGAGUAUGAAUACUCAAUGAAUGUCCUUGCAUUUGGAAUUCAGAGCUCAGAUAUCACCCCAGCUUUCCCAUAUGUUGCACCAUUUUCAUGCACUGUCCCAGACAUUUGCCGUAUUGUUCGUUCAUUCAUUGAAGAUUCUGUGAGCUUCAUGGCACACGGGGGUGGUGGGGAUACCUAUGCAGCAGUGAAGAAGUACCUUGGUCGGAUCCUCUCUGAGGUGGUGGAUGCUUCGAUUCAAAAGCUUGUGGAUUCAGGCAGUGGUCUAAGUGUGUCCCAGGCAAUGCAGGUUGCUGCUAACAUGUCCGUGAUGGAGCGGGCAUGCGAGUUCUUCACACGCCAUGCUGCACAACUGUGUGGUGUGCCGCUGCGUGCUGUGGAGCGUGGUCGGCGGGACUUCCCACUUCGCAGGUCACGUGAUGCUGCGGAGGCACUCCUGCUGCGGCUUCUGCGCGCCAAGGCUGACGAGUUCAUGCGGCAAUCUGAUGGUGUCAGCUGGAUGGCUGAUGACCCUCCUCCUGGUGGCAAUGAGUAUGCGAACGAGGUCAUCAUCUACCUUGAGACGCUCACAUCAACUGCACAGCAGAUCCUUCCCCUUCCCGUGCUCCGCCGUGUACUUGUGGCAGUGCUUGCCCACAUCUCUGAAAGGAUCAUCGAGCUCUUCUUGAACGAUUCAGUAAAGCGGUUCAAUGCCAAUGCAGUCACUGGUAUAGAUACUGAUCUCAAAAUGUUUGAGACGUUUGCAGAGGGCAUGUCUAGCCUGUUCGUGGACUCAGGUCAAGAAUCUGCAAAAAAUGAAAUGAAGGCUGCACUAGUGGAAGCAAGGCAGCUAGUGAAUCUUCUUUUGAGCAAUAGUCCAGAGAAUUUCCUAAAUCCAGUGAUUCGUGAAAAGAACUAUAACAAGCUAGAUUAUAGAAAGGUUGCAAUCAUCUCAGAGAAGUUUAGAGAUACCUCAGAGAGUUACUUCUCAACAUUUGGGACAAGGGGUGCCAGGCAGAACCCAAAGAAGAAAUCUCUGGAUACCCUGAUCAAGAGGCUCAGAGAAGCCAGUUAGAUACCCUCCCUGCUAAGAUAGGGAUGCUUUUAUUUCCUCCCUCCAGUUCCUUACUCUUGGUAACAAGCGACUUAAUGUUAUAUAUUUGAAAGUUAUAAAGGGGCUUUGGAGUCCAAUUUACCUUGCUGUUUGGGUAUAUUGAAAUUGGAUGGUGAUUAACAGGGUAGAUGACUGUUUGCAGCUGCAGAUCUCCAGUCAUUCCCCCCCUUCAGAAAUAGUGACACUUCAAAUCAGUAGCGGUUUUUCCUACCAAUAUAGAGAAACCAGAUCCAUAGAGAAUAUGCUAUCCACUUUCUCUCUGUGUAGAAUGGUGCUAUGUAUGCCUAUGUUUGAAUUAAACACUUGGGAGGAUUUUAAAUAAAUGAACACUUAAGAG